rnacentral:tRNA from 1 species
GGUUGUGGCUCAGUGGUAGAGUGCCUGCCUAGCACGUGCGAGGAACUGGGUUUGAUUCUCAGUGCCA